rnacentral:rRNA from 1 species
CCCUUAGAUGUUCUGGGCCGCACGCGCGCUACACUGUUCGUCGCAGCGAGUCUUAACCUUGACCGAAAGGUUUGGGUAAUCUUCAGCAAAGACGAACGUGAUGGGGAUCGAUCAUUGCAAUUAUUGAUCGUGAACGAGGAAUUCCUAGUAAGUGCAAGUCAUCAGCUUGCGCUGAUUACGUCCCUGCCCUUUGUACACACCGCCCGUCGCUACUACCGAUUGAAUGGUCCGGUGAGGCCUUGGGAGGGCUAAGUGGGCUGUGUUUCACAGACCACCUGGCCCGAACCUGGUCAAACCUUAUCACUUAGAGGAAGGAGAAGUCGUAACA